rnacentral:rRNA from 1 species
AUUGAACGCUGGCGGCAUGCUUUACACAUGCAAGUCGAACGGCAGCGGGGGCUUCGGCCUGCCGGCGAGUGGCGAACGGGUGAGUAAUGCAUCGGAACGUGCCCAUGUCGUGGGGGAUAACGUAGCGAAAGCUACGCUAAUACCGCAUACGCCCUGAGGGGGAAAGCGGGGGAUUCUUCGGAACCUCGCGCGAUUGGAGCGGCCGAUGUCGGAUUAGCUAGUAGGUGAGGUAAAGGCUCACCUAGGCGACGAUCCGUAGCGGGUCUGAGAGGAUGAUCCGCCACACUGGGACUGAGACACGGCCCAGACUCCUACGGGAGGCAGCAGUGGGGAAUUUUGGACAAUGGGCGCAAGCCUGAUCCAGCCAUGCCGCGUGAGUGAAGAAGGCCUUCGGGUUGUAAAGCUCUUUCGGCCGGGAAGAAAUCGUGGUCUCUAACAUAGGCCAUGGAUGACGGUACCGGACUAAGAAGCACCGGCUAACUACGUGCCAGCAGCCGC